GCUCCUUGGUCGCCUCAGCUGAGCCGUUGGUGGCAGCAGCGUCCCCGUCAGGCUUUGAGGAGACGUCGCCAUUGGUUUUCACAUGUCCAUUCUCCUGGGGACACAUGGAAGAAGAAGAAAGAGCAUCGUCGUCAAGCUCAUCAAAUUAACCACCGUGUCUCCUCACUCCGAGGCGACGCCUUGCAGUACUCUAAUCAGGCGAUAGGCGGCGGUAGUGCCUCACAGAUCGCUGCAUUGAAAGGUAAUAAUAAUUACCUGUCCGUUGGUUUUGACAGCUGCAGCAUCACCAGCUUCUCCUCCUCCAGCAGCAGCAGCUGCAGCAGCAGCGUUCCCCUCCGUGGCCACCUCUCCUCCUUUGGAUGCCUGGGAUCCCAUUGUCUUCGGGUGAGUUUCGUGUCUUCCAAUUGAAAGCAAAAAAGGAAAAAACUUAAAAAAAAGAGUGCGAUUAUUAUUAUUAUUAUUCUUUUUUUCCACUUGUUUUUUUUUGUCAAUCCAGAUCAAGUUACGUAUCCAGCGGUGAAGCGGCGUUAAAGAGCUGUCUGUAAAGUCCCCUCGUUGGCUCCUGCGCUCACACUGGCAGACGGAGAGCCUCUAAACCCCGACACUGGUUGAACGCAACGCUUCAACACACUGAGCUGUUUUAUGGCCCAAAGAAGAAGAAAAAUCUGGAUAUGGAAACUGAGCAGGGGCAAAGUCGAGCU